rnacentral:rRNA from 1 species
GACAGAGGUGCCGAGCGUUAGGCGGAAUCACUGGGCUUAAAGCGUGUGUAGGCGGGGUUGUAAGUACCUUGUGAAAUCCCACGGCUCAACCGUGGAACUGCUUGGUAUACUGCGAUUCUUGAGCCACUUAGGGGCUACCGGAACAAAUGGUGGAGCGGUGAAAUGCGUAGAUAUCAUUUGGAACGCCAAUGGUGAAAACAGGUAGCUGGGAGUGUGCUGACGCUGAGACACGAAAGCCAGGGGAGCGAACGGG